UCACAAGUCCAUUGUGAGUUGAAGAACCUUGGCAAACCUUGGAGGAAGAAUAGUGGAAAUCAAUUAGAUGGAAUUUUCCAUGCGAAGUCUAAUCAUUGUGACAAAUCUGGGGCAUUCCUGUUGUUGCAAACUGAAGAAUAAGAGUCUGAAGAAACAUCCCAAACCAAACCAUGGCUUAUCCAUUCCCUCUCCAGAUGCUGCCUGACCCGCCGAUUCACACCAGCACUUUGUGUUUUGUGUCAAACUUUCAGUGCUGUGUAACUCCAUGACUCAAUAAGAAUGAAAGUAAAUGUAUUGGUUAAUGAG